rnacentral:rRNA from 1 species
AUGAACGCUGGCGGCGUGCUUAACACAUGCAAGUCGAACGGACUUUACAUGAAGCCUAGCGAAUGUAAAGUUAGUGGCGGACGGGUGAGUAACGCGUGGGUAACCUGCCGUAUGCCGGGGGACAACAGUUGGAAACGACUGCUAAUACCGCAUAAGCGCACAGAUAGGCAUCUAUCAGUGUGAAAAACUCCGGUGGCAUACGAUGGACCCGCGUCUGAUUAGGCAGUUGGCGGUGUAACGGACCACCAAACCGACGAUCAGUAGCCGGCCUGAGAGGGUGAACGGCCACAUUGGGACUGAGACACGGCCCAAACUCCUACGGGAGGCAGCAGUGGGGAAUAUUGCACAAUGGGGGAAACCCUGAUGCCAGCGACGCCGCGUGAGUGAAGAAGUAUUUCGGUAUGUAAAGCUCUAUCAGCAGGAAAGAAAAUGACGGUACCUGACUAAGAAGCCCCGGCUAACUACGUGCCAGCAGCCGC